rnacentral:rRNA from 1 species
GACGAACGCUGGCGGCGUGCCUAAUACAUGCAAGUCGAACGCAGUGGGGACGGGUGAGUAACACGUGGGUAACCUCCCAUCAGAGGGGAGAACACUUGGCAAAAGGUGCUAAACUGAUAUUGAUGGAUGGAGCCGCGGUGCAGUAGCUAGUUGGUGGGGUAACGGCUCACCAAGGCCACGAUGCCUAGCUGGUCUGAGAGGGUGAUCGGCCACACUGGAACUGAGACACGGCCCAGACGCCUACGGGAGGCAGCAGUAGGGAAUCUUCGGCAAUGGACGAAAGUCUGACCGAGCAACGCCGCGUGAGUGAAGAAGGUUUUCGGAUCGUAAAGCUCUGUUGGUAGAGAAGCGGUAUCUAACCAGAAAGCCACGGCUAACUACGUGCCAGCAGCCGCGGUAAUUC